CUCCUGCCUCAGCCUCCCAGAGUGCUAGCAUUACAGGUGUGAGCCACCACACCCGGCUCUGCCAACUCUAGAUGUCUAUCACCAGAGAGAAGCUCCAAGCCUAGCAUCACUCGGGGCACUGAUGGACACACAAGGAGAAACGUGUUCUAUGAGUCAAAAGUGUGUCAUUUCACAAGAUCAGGAAAAUGGGCUCCACAUGUACUCGCCAUCAAAUUGGUGUGAAAAGGAGCCGAUGUUAGCAACACAGGAUAAAUAUCAGAUGGUCGAAGGACACAGGAGACAGAUCAGAAGAUGAAGGCGCAGAGAGGGGAAGUGAUAUGUCCCAGGUCACAUAACUAACACGUGAUACAGUCAGAAUUCCAGCCCAGGCCAUCUGACGACAUCUGUGUGGUUUCCAUGAUUCUUAUUUUACCAGUGGAGAGGGACAGAGGGGUCAUGUGACUUGCUCAGGAACAUGAAGUUUGUCAGUGAUGUCAUGGGAUUAAUAACCAGGGUCUUGCAGAUGCCCUAUUCUGGCCUCUUUCUGCAAGACUGCUGCUUCUAGAUCAUGUUAAGACAGAUUCUGAAAAGGGAGGGCUUGGAUUAAUUAAUAGCACUGAAUAGAAGGCAAGCUGUGAUCCCCAAGGAAUUCUAUACUAUCAUAUAAGUUUGUGGCAUGAGUGGUCAGGAGGCUGAGCCUCUCAGAGUUCUGCAGUGAUACCGGUGUUAGCUGCCAUCCAUGGCUCCCAGGACAGGUCUCGAGGCCCCACUUGAAUCUGGGCUCUGUUUGGGGGUUGGAUGCCACGCUGACCACCCAGCACUAGUUCUGAUGCUGUUUGCCAGUGUACUGGUGACAUGGCUUGAGGCUGCUAAAUUCACUGUAGGCUUCCAGGCUCCCUGGAACAUCUCCCAUCCAUUCAGUGUGCAAAGGCUGGGUGCAGGCCUCCAGAUUGCCAUGGACAAGGUCAACUCCGAGCCAGCGGACUUUGGAAACCUCAGCCUGGAGUUCACUUACACCAACUCAGCCUGCAGCACCAAGGAGUACCUUGCUAUUUUUAUCAACCAGGUCCAGAGAGAACAGAUUUCUGCCCUGUUUGGACCGGCAUGCCCAGAAGUAGCAGAGGUUAUUGGUUUGUUGGCCUCUGAGUGGAACAUCCCCAUGUUUGACUUCGUUGGACAAAUGGCAAAGCUGGAAAACCACAUCCUGUAUGACACCUGUGUGAAACUUGUGCCACCCACGAAGGACAUCGGUCAUGUACUCCGGAAAAGUCUCCAGUACCUGGGCUGGAAACACAUUGGGAUGUUUGGAGGCUACUCUGGGACUUCCUCCUGGGAUGGAGUAGAUACAUUGUGGGGGGUCGCAGAGCAUGAACUCAAAUCCCAUUUCACUCUCACUGCCAGCAUGAGAUACACCAGCAACAGUCCAGUUCUCCUUCAAGAGAAUCUUAGGAGUGUGUCAUCAACUGCCAGGGUUAUCAUCUUAAUCUGCAGCUCAGAGGAUGCAAAAAUUAUUCUGCUGGCUGCAGAGAACCUGGGACUCAACACCGGAGAUUUUGUCUUCAUCAUCCUGCAGCAUUUGGAGGACAGUUUUUGGAAGGAGGCAUUGACAAAUCAGAAGAUGACCCACUUCCCGAAAGUCUAUACGUCAGUGCUUCUCAUCGCCCUGAGCUCCUACGGAGAAGGGCGAGAGGGCUUCCGGGAACAAGUGUACCAGAGGCUGAGGGGGCCGCCCUUCCGCAGCACGAUCUCCUCGGAGGAGCAGGUGAGCCCGUAUUCUGCCUACCUCCACGACGCCAUCCUGCUCUACGCUCAGACAGUGCAGCGGGUGGCACAGGCCGGCGGGGACGUCCUGGAUGGGCGGCAGCUGGUCAGCAGCCUACAAGGUUCCAAUCGGACUGUGAUGCGGGGAAUCACCGGCCCUGUGGUUUUGGACUCCCAGGGGGAACGGCACAUGGAUUACUCGGUUUAUGCUCUACAGAAAGCUGGGAACGGGUCCCUUUUUCUUCCUUUUCUUCACUAUGACAGUUAUCGGAAAGCAAUCAGACCCGCAGAGAAUUUCUCCACUGUUACUUGGCCCCAUGGCUCCCUUCCUGAAGACCGACCUGGCUGUGGAUUUUAUAAUGAGCUCUGCAAAGCUGAGCCUGCCGCUGGGGGUGUGACUGCUGUGACUCUCACAGUGACGCUCCUCGUUACUGCCUUGGGAGCUACCAUCGUAGGGCUGAUUUUAAGGAUGCAGAGGGGAAAACUGCAGAGGCAGGAUAAAGACAUCUGGUGGCAAAUCAAUUAUGACAACAUCACCAUUCUUCCCCAGAACAAGCCAUCCCAGAGAGACACACCUGUGUUGAGAGGGAACAAGAGUAACUCAUCUAGGGCGAUGAUUUCUGCAGACCUCAGCUCCUUUGUCAAAAGCCAGCAGGAGGAAGAGCUCUUCUAUGCCCCAGUAGGAUUUUACCAGGGAAACCACGUGGCCAUCCGCUAUGUCGGUGACCAAGCAGGAGCCUGGGUUAAGAAGCCGACUGUGCUACAGGAAAUCCGGCUGAUGUGUGAAUUAAGGCACGAGAACAUUGUUCACUUCUUUGGUAUUUGCACAGAACCACCUAACAUCUGCAUUGUCACCCAGUAUUGCAAAAAAGGAAGUCUUAAGGAUGUUUUGAGAAACUCAGACCAUGAAAUGGAUUGGAUAUUCAAACUCUCAUUUGCAUAUGACAUAGUCAAUGGCCUGCUGUUCCUCCACAGGAGCCCGCUGGGCUCCCACGGCAACCUGAAGCCUUCCAGCUGCCUGGUGGACGGCCGGAUGCAGGUGAAGCUGACAGGAUUUGGGCUGUGGGAACUCAAGUACGGCCAAACAUACAGAACAUUGGAUGAGAAAACUACUGACCCCUCAGAGCUCUACUGGACGGCCCCGGAGCUGCUGCGGCUCCCGGCGACACCGCGGUCCGGCACGGCGAAGGGAGACGUCUACAGCUUUGGGGUUCUGAUGCGGGAGCUGCUCCACCACCCCGACCUCGGGCCCUUUGACGACCGCGAUGAGGCUCCGGCUGAAAUCAUCAACCGAAUCAAAGACCCCAGGGCGUCAGUUCCACUGCGACCUUCCCUGUGUGAGGACGAAGGCAAUGGAAAGAUCCUGCUCAUGGUGAGGGCAUGCUGGGAUGAAUCUCCAGAGAAAAGGCCCACUUUCCAGUCUAUCAAGAAGACUUUGCAAGAAGCCAGCCCCAAAGGCCACGUGAGCAUACUGGACAGCAUGGUUAGCAAGCUGGAAGUGUAUGCCAACCGCCUGGAGGAAGUGGUGGCAGAGAGGACCAGCCAGCUGAUGGCAGAGAAGAGGAAGGUGGAGAACCUUCUGUCCACGAUGUUGCCCAGCUUCAUUGGAGAACAGCUUGUAGCUGGAAGAUCUGUGGAACCAGAGCAUUUUGAGUCCGUGACAAUCUUUUUCUCUGACAUCGUUGGAUUCACAAAACUGUGUUCUCUCAGCUCCCCCUUGCAAGUUGUCAAGCUCCUCAAUGACCUGUAUAGUUUGUUUGAUCACAUCAUUACAGCGUAUGAUGUGUACAAGGUCGAGACCAUUGGAGAUGCAUACAUGGUGGCCAGCGGGCUUCCCAUCCGCAAUGGAAUCCAGCAUGUGGACGAGAUUGCUACCAUGUCCCUGCACUUCCUCAGUGCCACCAUCCACUUCCAGAUUGGGCACAUGCCUGAGGAGAAGCUCAAGCUCCGGAUUGGCCUCCACACAGGUCCUGUGGUGGCUGGCGUGGUGGGCAUCACCAUGCCCAGAUACUGUCUGUUUGGGGACACUGUGAACAUGGCAUCCAGAAUGGAGAGCAGCAGUUUGCGUCUCGCAGAGCACUGCAGGCGCCCUGCUGGCACUGGGAGGGUACGAGUUGCAGAAGAGAGGCACCAUUCCAGUCAAGGGCAAAGGAGAGCAGAUGACUUUCUGGCUGAAAGGCAAGGAAGGCUUCACUAUUUCGCUCCCCGAAUUUACCGAGGAAGAGGCUCAAGUCGCGGAGAUCGUGUGAGGCACUUUGGCCGCAGCACCUCACGUGAUCCUCACACCCGUGGGGCCAAGUUGAGGAGAUAAGAGUUGGAUACGGCUGUCUCCAUUCAGCAGACAACGUCCAGCGGGAGGGGAGUGACUUAUGAGAAGCCACACAGCUGCCAAUGUGGGCCCAGGGAGGUCAGCAGAAUCGUCUUGCCUCUGACCUAGCGGGGCAGAGUUCAUGCAUGGCAAGGGUUGCAGUGGACAUAAACACCUGUCCUCUCUCCCAGUGGAAAUGUCUGACGGUGCUGGCGAGACGCUGUGAGGUGCGGCAGGGUAAGGCUGAGACUCUGCCGUCUGCCUGGAGCCCCAAGGCCACCUUGGCCGUGACCAGCUGUGUGCUCUUGGGCAGGUUACUUAGCUUCCGUGAGCCUUCGUUUCCUGCUCUCCUGAAAGGAUACGAUGAUAUCUGGGACACAGUGUUGCUCAGAACAUUAAAUGAGACAUAUGUCUGUUAGCGUAGACGUGGCUCAUUUUCCUUGGUCAAGAAAGCCUUUUGUUUCUAUGCUUAGUUCUACUUGGGGACUCCAAAGAGGGGAGCCUCUUAGGAGGGGGUCACCACCAGAUAGCACCCAUUAUUGCCAUCAGUGCUAGACUACAUCAUAUGUAACUAAGAGCACAGGCUCUGGGGGAAUUAGAGGUCGUGGCUCUGCCACAUUUCCAAUUGUGUGAUCUUGGGCAAGUGGCUUGACCUUUCUAAGCCUCUAAUGUCCAAAUCUGUGAAAGGGGCUUCCCACCACCUAUAGCUGUUAUGAGGAUAUAAUAAAAUGAUGCAUGUCAAUUGCUUAGCACAGCGUCUUGCACACAGCAGGCAUUCAGAAGCGCUGCUGUAAGUGUGUUCAUCUGGGAUUUGUAUUCUCAGGUUGGAAAGGCAUGUCAAUAGUGUUCUCACAUGAACUCUGGGUGUUUUCUAAUGGUAAUAUUUCUCUCUUUAGAAGCCCACUUUAAUAAAAGAGCAGGCGUUUUUGAUUUCUAGAAAAGUCUGAUAACGAUAAGAUCCUGGGACAGAGAAAGAGAUCUCUCCUACAAUUUCUUGGAGCGGGGAUCCAGCUAACAAUGAGGUACAUGAUACUCCUUUCAAGGGGCAGCUGAAUGGAGU